rnacentral:lncRNA from 7 species
AAAUGGCCUGCUUUCCUCGCUUCAGAACUGGAAGACUUAAUCAGGUCUUGUCUUAAUGUGUAAAUCAAUGUCAACCAUAUGGUGUAGGACCAAAUUUUAUUAUCGUGGUGCAAUCCCAUUAAACUUCUGUUCUCAUGGUUAAGCAGAUGUGGCAGUAACCAAUGUCUUCACGUCCAACCAGUUACCCACCAUUAAAAUGGGAAUUCCCAUUUUAAACAUCGAGUCCAAUUCUUUUUUUAAUUCUGUAAGUGCCUUUGUUUCAGAAAUGUUCUGUGGAAUCAAAUACAGUACAAUACUCUGUCAUACGGAAUUCUCUGGAGAAUCGUUGACUUUAUUACACACUGUAAACCAGCUUCGUAUGUUGUUUGUAGUUCAAACGUAAGUCUUCAAAAGAAAUGGCAUAAACUCUUUGCACCUUUGUAAUAAAUGCAGUGUUUG